rnacentral:rRNA from 1 species
UACGGAGGGUGCAAGCGUUAUCCGGAUUCACUGGGUUUAAAGGGCGCGUAGGCGGAUAGGUAAGUCAGUGGUGAAAUCCUGCAGCUUAACUGCAGAACUGCCGUUGAUACUAUCUAUCUUGAAUGUCGUUGAGGUUUGCGGAAUAGGUCAUGUAGCGGUGAAAUGCAUAGAUAUGACCUGGAACACCUAUUGCGAAGGCAGCAGGCUAAACGAAUAUUGACGCUGAGGCUCGAAAGCGUGGGGAUCAAACAGG